rnacentral:rRNA from 1 species
CCUACGGGGGGCAGCAGUGAGGAAUAUUGGUCAAUGGACGCAAGUCUGAACCAGCCAAGUAGCGUGCAGGAUGACGGCCCUCCGGGUUGUAAACUGCUUUUAGUUGGGAAUAAAAGGGUGCUCGUGAGCCCCGUAUUGUAUGUACCAUCAGAAAAAGGACCGGCUAAUUCCGUGCCAGCAGCCGCGGUAAUACGGAAGGUCCGGGCGUUAUCCGGAUUUAUGGGGUUUAAAGGGAGCGUAGGCCGGCUUUUAAGUCAGCUGGGAAAGUCGGCGGCUCAACCGCUGAAUUGCAGUUGAAACUGGAGUCCUUGAGUGCACACAGGGAUGCCGGAAUUCAUGGUGUAGCGGUGAAAUGCUUAGAUAUCAUGAAGAACUACGAUCGCGAAGGCAAGUGUCCGGGGUGCAACUGACGCUGAGGCUCGAAAGUGCGGGUAUCAAACAGGAUUAGAUACCCCAGUAGUC